UACGAAGGGGGCUAGCGUUGUUCGGAAUUACUGGGCGUAAAGGGCGCGUAGGCGGCGUGUCAAGUCAGGCGUGAAAGCCCCGGGCUCAACCUGGGAACCGCGCUUGAGACUGGCAUGCUCGAGUUCGGGAGAGGAUGGUGGAAUUCCCAGUGUAGAGGUGAAAUUCGUAGAUAUUGGAAAGAACACCGAUGGCGAAGGCAGCCAUCUGGACCGACACUGACGCUGAGGCGCGGAAAGCGUGGGGAGCAAACAGG
rnacentral:rRNA from 1 species